UAUUUGAAUUAUUAUACCCCCACAAACGAAGUUUAGGGGGGGUAUAUAGGAGUCAGCUUGUCGGUCGGUCGGUCGGUCGGUCGGUCCGUCGGUCGGUCCACAUCAUGGUUUCCGGACGAUAACUAGAGUUUGGAAUGAGGUAUUGUAAUCAAACUUGGUAUAUAGCAACCUUAUGUGAAAACUCCGGUUGGUAUUGCAUUUGGACCCCCUGGGGUCAAGGUCACCGUUACUAAAAAUAGAAAAAUGGUUUCCGGACAAUAACUUGAGUUAGGAAUGAGAUAUUGUAAUCAAAAUUGGUGUAUAGCAAGCUUAUAUGAAGACCUGGGUUGGUAUUGUUUUUGGACCCCCUGGGGUCAAGGUCAAGGUCACCGUUACUAAAAAUAGAAAAAUGGUUUCCGGACAAUAACUAGAGUUAGGAAUGAGAUAUUGUUAUCAAACUUGGUG